GUAAACCAGCACAUUCGGUGCUGGCGGGAUUCAGGGCGUUUCAAGAGCACUGGUUCACUCAGGGUAGUUUGUCUAGCACUCACCUCUUCAUUCAGCUACCACUUGACAGCGCAGACUCUUCAGAGGCCUGCCUGAUGCCCAUCAGCAUGAGGGACUCCAGUCUUCAUCCUUCAUCAUCACUGCACAAAACAUCUGGACGAUUGUCAAGGACGUCACAAUCUCUGUGAUAGCUGACAUAUCCCAUGGGCCAUUGCAGAAAAAGGAAAGCAAAGUCACUCUUGCGUGAGCAAAUACAGUAUGGGUGGCUCCAUUAAUGCAGUUAUCUUGUAAUGCUGACUGGGUGCUGUAUAUGAGCUAGCCUAGGAUCUACAAAUAUGCUCUUCUGCAUGAUGGGGAACCUAGAUGACACUUGCACAGGUGCAAGCACCAAUCACAGAGAUUAAGUGUUUGUUUGAUGAAGCAUUGUUUCAAUAGUCUAGUGCCCUCACACUGAGCUUUUCAACUUCUCUCCCCGUGUGACAGUUUUCAGGAAAAACAAGAUUUGUGGCUAAAAGCUGUAGAUUUACACUUCCAUCUUUUAUUUAGAUGUUCAUAUCUUCUCCCCAUAGCCAACAGCAUAAACUAAUCCUGUAUUGCGUUUCAAUAUAAUGAUAUAUAGAAAUGGUGAUUACCCUCUAAUUCAAUUGCUUGGUAAUCAAAUUGUAGUAAUGGUGCUUAUUUGGUACCCCAAUUUAUAGUUUUCCCAGAAAUCAUUAAGCAAUUUACUCUUCAAAUCUACUUUGAAUAUGCGUGAGCACAGACGCACACACACAGGCUAGUAUUAUGGUGUAUUAUAUGAAGCCCCAGCUGUUUGAGAUGAUGAUGGUAGCAGAAGGACUCUUGUGAGAGUCAUGGGUAAACAGAAAGAGUCCUGGCUGUCUUCUUCUGGACACAGACUCCUUCCUGUUUGCCAGGAUUGGGAUAAAGAUGCUGGAAUCAAAAGACGGCACUGAAACAUAUCCAAAGUUUGAGCCACGUGUGUUUACCCUUAACCUCAACAAAGCCUGCUUCCGAAUGUCUGGAAUAUCAGCCUAUCGGUACAUUUUGGAACAUUGUGAGGAAGGGCUAAAGUCUACAGAGCCUUUGCAAUCACACUUGUUUUGUUUGUGCCAUUUACUUGGUGUGUGACUGCAGCAUGUCAACGGCCUAAUGUAAUCACUUACUUUCUGUUUGCUUUCAUAAAGGGUUUUACAUGCAUUAAAUGCUGUAAUGAAUCAGUUCGGUGGAUAGAGUUGCUUAAGACCCUCCCAUCUGGGUAUUUUUUCUAACUUUCUUAAUAUUGAGUCACUUUCAGGUGAUUAUUUGGGAUGCAUUUACUGCGUACAGCUGGGGAAGGUCACCUUCCGAAUCAGUUACCUGAAUAAAUAUCAUCGUACAAGAGGAAGCUGGGUGCCGAUGCCACUCUCAUGCUGUGAAGAGCCCUCAUAAUACUACUGGCAUUGUGGUUAUGCAUAACGUGCCAUUCGGCACAAUAUUGGCACUGUGAUUUCUCCUCGCUAUAAGCCUGCCGUCCCAACUCGCCCAGCAGCCGAGGCACGGAGAGUUCUCAUGCUCUCUUAAAAGCUGCACAUACAGGCUGAGAGUCUUCUACCGCCCAGGGCUGCGCAGCAUCCACUUAGACUCUGACAGUGGCCGAUAACCCAAUCUCCAGGGGGCUUGUGGCGGAGACUGAUCUAACAGGCCCACGGUGAUGUGUCUGUGUCCAUGGUGGGCAUUUCCUUUCUUUUUCUCUCUUUCUC